AACGAACGCUGGCGGCAUGCCUAACACAUGCAAGUCGAACGAGACCUUCGGGUCUAUUGGCGCACGGGUGCGUAACGCGUGGGAACCUGCCCUUAGGUUCGGAAUAACUCCCCGAAAGGGGUGCUAAUACCGGAUAAUGUCUUCGGACCAAAGAUUUAUCGCCUUUGGAUGGGCCCGCGUUGGAUUAGCUAGUUGGUAGGGUAAAAGCCUACCAAGGCGACGAUCCAUAGCUGGUCUGAGAGGAUGAUCAGCCACACUGGGACUGAGACACGGCCCAGACUCCUACGGGAGGCAGCAGUGGGGAAUAUUGGACAAUGGGCGAAAGGCUGAUCCAGCAAUGCCGCGUGAGUGAUGAAGGCCUUAGGGUUGUAAAGCUCUUUUACCCGGGAUGAUAAUGACAGUACCGGGAGAAUAAGCUCCGGCUAACUCCGUG
rnacentral:rRNA from 1 species